GUCUAUGGCCAUGCUAUUCUGAACAAGCCUGAUCCCGUCUGAUCUAGGAAGCUAAGCAGAAUCAGGCCUGGUUAGUACUUGGAUGGGAGACCACCUAGGAAGACCAGGUGCUGUGGGUG
rnacentral:rRNA from 1 species